AAAUCCUAAACGGCGAAUUAAUCAAGGGAUAAAAGAAAAACUCAACGGCUUAAAAGAUCAUAGAAAACAAAGAAAUUAAUUGUCCCAGACCUCAUUGUUCCAUCUGGAAAACGGGCUUCGAUCGGUCAUUUUUCGAACUAAUGCGUUUUCUUUCCUGAUCCUUUGUGGUCGGAUCUGGCGCGUGGAUGAGCAAAGUAUUGAAUGGCGGAUGAGUGAUAGAGGCAGAGAAGGCUCAUCUAGAAACCAACAAUGAAAUGGGUUUCAUUGCUUUAGGACAUAAAAGAGAAGGUUGGAUUAACUCAUUCUGCACCCACUAGUUCCUCCGCCG
rnacentral:misc_RNA from 1 species